GUGGGGAAUAUUGGACAAUGGGGGGAACCCUGAUCCAGCCAUGCCGCGUGUGUGAAGAGGCCUUUUGGUUGUAAAGCACUUUAAGCGAGGAGGAGGCUACCGAGAUUAAUACUCUUGGAUAGUGGACGUUACUCGCAGAAUAAGCACCGGCUAACUCUGUGCCAGCAGCCGCGGUAAUACAGAGGGUGCAAGCGUUAAUCGGAUUUACUGGGCGUAAAGCGCGCGUAGGUGGCCAAUUAAGUCAAAUGUGAAAUCCCCGAGCUUAACUUGGGAAUUGCAUUCGAUACUGGUUGGCUAGAGUAUGGGAGAGGAUGGUAGAAUUCCAGGUGUAGCGGUGAAAUGCGUAGAGAUCUGGAGGAAUACCGAUGGCGAAGGCAGCCAUCUGGCCUAAUACUGACACUGAGGUGCGAAAGCAUGGGGAGCAAACAGGAUUAGAAACCCUGGUAGUCC
rnacentral:rRNA from 1 species